CCUACGGGAGGCUGCAGUGGGGAAUAUUGGGCAAUGGAGGAAACUCUGACCCAGCAACGCCGCGUGAAUGAUGAAGGUCUUCGGAUUGUAAAGUUCUUUUCUAAGGGAAGAAGAAAGUGACGGUACCUGAUGACUAAGCUACGGCUAACUACGUGCCAGCAGCCGCCGGAAUACGUAGGGAGCAAGCGUUAUCCGGAUUUACUGGGUGUAAAGGGCGCGUAGGCGGGAUGGCAAGUCAGAUGUGAAAUCCAGGGGCUCGACCCCUGAACUGCAGUUGAAACUGUCGUUCUUGAGUGCUGGAGAGGUUGACGGAAUUCCUAGUGUAGCGGUGAAAUGCGUAGAUAUUAGGAGGAACACCAAUGGCGAAGGCGGUCAACUGGACAGCAACUGACGCUGAGGCGCGAAAGCGUGGGGAGCAAACAGGAUUAGAUACCCCAGUAGUC
rnacentral:rRNA from 1 species